rnacentral:rRNA from 1 species
GACGAACGCUGGCGGCGUGCUUAACACAUGCAAGUCGAACGGAAAGGCCCUGCUUUUGUGGGGUGCUCGAGUGGCGAACGGGUGAGUAACACGUGAGUAACCUGCCCUUGACUUUGGGAUAACUUCAGGAAACUGGGGCUAAUACCGGAUAGGAGCUCCUGCUGCAUGGUGGGGGUUGGAAAGUUUCGGCGGUUAGGGAUGGACUCGCGGCUUAUCAGCUUGUUGGUGGGGUAGUGGCUUACCAAGGCUUUGACGGGUAGCCGGCCUGAGAGGGUGACCGGCCACAUUGGGACUGAGAUACGGCCCAGACUCCUACGGGAGGCAGCAGUGGGGAAUAUUGCACAAUGGGCGGAAGCCUGAUGCAGCAACGCCGCGUGCGGGAUGACGGCCUUCGAGUUGUAAACCGCUUUCGCCUGUGACGAAGCGUGAGUGACGGUAAUGGGUAAAGAAGCACCGGCUAACUACGUG